UACGUAGGGGGCGAGCGUUGUCCGGAAUUAUUGGGCGUAAAGAGCUCGUAGGCGGUUUGUCGCGUCUGCUGUGAAAACCUAAGGCUCAACCUUGGGCUUGCAGUGGGUACGGGCAGACUAGAGUGCGGUAGGGGUGACUGGAAUUCCUGGUGUAGCGGUGGAAUGCGCAGAUAUCAGGAGGAACACCGAUGGCGAAGGCAGGUCACUGGG
rnacentral:rRNA from 1 species